rnacentral:rRNA from 1 species
ACGAGGCGAACCGGGGGAACUGAAACAUCUAAGUACCCCGAGGAAAAGAAAUCAACCGAGAUUCCCCCAGUAGCGGCGAGCGAACGGGGAGCAGCCCAGAGUCUGAAUCAGCUUGUGUGUUAGUGGAACGGUCUGGAAAGUCCGACGGUACAGGGUGAUAGUCCCGUACACCAAAAUGCACAGGUUGUGAACUCGAAGAGUAGGGCGGGACACGUGGUAUCCUGUCUGAAUAUGGGGGGACCAUCCUCCAAGGCUAAAUACUCCUGACUGACCGAUAGUGAACCAGUACCGUGAGGGAAAGGCGAAAAGAACCCCGGCGAGGGGAGUGAAAAAGAACCUGAAACCGUGUACGUACAAGCAGUGGGAGCACCUUCGGGUGUGACUGCGUACCUUUUGUAUAAUGGGUCAGCGACUUAUAUUCUGUAGCAAGGUUAACCGUAUAGGGGAGCCGCAGGGAAACCGAGUCUUAACUGGGCGUUAAGUUGCAGGGUAUAGACCCGAAACCCGGUGAUCUAGCCAUGGGCAGGUUGAAGGUUGGGUAACACUAACUGGAGGACCGAACCGACUAAUGUUGAAAAAUUAGCGGAUGACUUGUGGCUGGGGGUGAAAGGCCAAUCAAACCGGGAGAUAGCUGGUUCUCCCCGAAAGCUAUUUAGGUAGCGCCUCGUGAACUCAUCUUCGGGGGUAGAGCACUGUUUCGGCUAGGGGGUCAUCCCGACUUACCAACCCGAUGCAAACUACGAAUACCGAAGAAUGUUAUCACGGGAGACACACGGCGGGUGCUAACGUCCGUCGUGAAGAGGGAAACAACCCAGACCGCCAGCUAAGGUCCCAAAGUCAUGGUUAAGUGGGAAACGAUGUGGGAAGGCACAGACAGCCAGGAUGUUGGCUUAGAAGCAGCCAUCAUUUAAAGAAAGCGUAAUAGCUCACUGGUCGAGUCGGCCUGCGCGGAAGAUGUAACGGGGCUAAACCAUGCACCGAAGCUGCGGCAGCGACACUAUGUGUUGUUGGGUAGGGGAGCGUUCUGUAAGCCUGCGAAGGUGUGCUGUGAGGCAUGCUGGAGGUAUCAGAAGUGCGAAUGCUGACAUAAGUAACGAUAAAGCGGGUGAAAAGCCCGCUCGCCGGAAGACCAAGGGUUCCUGUCCAACGUUAAUCGGGGCAGGGUGAGUCGACCCCUAAGGCGAGGCCGAAAGGCGUAGUCGAUGGGAAACAGGUUAAUAUUCCUGUACUUGGUGUUACUGCGAAGGGGGGACGGAGAAGGCUAUGUUAGCCGGGCGACGGUUGUCCCGGUUUAAGCAUGUAGGCUGAUUGUCCAGGCAAAUCCGGAUAAUCAAGGCUGAGGUGUGAUGACGAGGCACUACGGUGCUGAAGUAACAAAUGCCCUGCUUCCAGGAAAAGCCUCUAAGCAUCAGGUAACAUUAAAUCGUACCCCAAACCGACACAGGUGGUCAGGUAGAGAAUACCAAGGCGCUUGAGAGAACUCGGGUGAAGGAACUAGGCAAAAUGGUGCCGUAACUUCGGGAGAAGGCACGCUGGUGUGUAGGUGAAGUCCCUGCGGAUGGAGCUGAGACCAGUCGAAGAUACCAGCUGGCUGCAACUGUUUAUUAAAAACACAGCACUGUGCAAACACGAAAGUGGACGUAUACGGUGUGACGCCUGCCCGGUGCCGGAAGGUUAAUUGAUGGGGUUAUCCGUAAGGAGAAGCUCUUGAUCGAAGCCCCGGUAAACGGCGGCCGUAACUAUAACGGUCCUAAGGUAGCGAAAUUCCUUGUCGGGUAAGUUCCGACCUGCACGAAUGGCGUAAUGAUGGCCAGGCUGUCUCCACCCGAGACUCAGUGAAAUUGAACUCGCUGUGAAGAUGCAGUGUACCCGCGGCAAGACGGAAAGACCCCGUGAACCUUUACUAUAGCUUGACACUGAACAUUGAGCCUUGAUGUGUAGGAUAGGUGGGAGGCUUUGAAGCGUGGACGCCAGUCUGCGUGGAGCCAACCUUGAAAUACCACCCUUUAAUGUUUGAUGUUCUAACGUUGGCCCCUUACCGGGGUUGCGGACAGUGUCUGGUGGGUAGUUUGACUGGGGCGGUCUCCUCCCAAAGCGUAACGGAGGAGCACGAAGGUUAGCUAAUCCUGGUCGGACAUCAGGAGGUUAGUGCAAUGGCAUAAGCUAGCUUGACUGCGAGCGUGACGGCGCGAGCAGGUGCGAAAGCAGGUCAUAGUGAUCCGGUGGUUCUGAAUGGAAGGGCCAUCGCUCAACGGAUAAAAGGUACUCCGGGGAUAACAGGCUGAUACCGCCCAAGAGUUCAUAUCGACGGCGGUGUUUGGCACCUCGAUGUCGGCUCAUCACAUCCUGGGGCUGAAGUAGGUCCCAAGGGUAUGGCUGUUCGCCAUUUAAAGUGGUACGCGAGCUGGGUUUAGAACGUCGUGAGACAGUUCGGUCCCUAUCUGCCGUGGGCGCUGGAGAAUUGAGGGGGGCUGCUCCUAGUACGAGAGGACCGGAGUGGACGCAUCACUGGUGUUCGGGUUGUCAUGCCAAUGGCACUGCCCGGUAGCUAAAUGCGGAAGAGAUAAGUGCUGAAAGCAUCUAAGCACGAAACUUGCCCCGAGAUGAGUUCUCCCUGAGACUUUAAGUCUCCUGAAGGAACGUUGAAGACGACGACGUUGAUAGGCCGGGUGUGUAAGCGCAGCGAUGCGUUGAGCUAACCGGUACUAAUGAACCGUGAGGCUUAACC